GGCAAGAAUUAACCAAGCCGCCCACUCCCACCUUGUCUCCAACCUUGAACUUAUGUACAUUGCUCCCCACUUCGGUAACGACACCAACAAUCUCAUGUCUGCACAGUUAGUUCUUUUUGUAAAUCUUCAUGUGUUUUCAGGUGUAUGGGUGAUGACUAUCAAAUGGUUGCACUGUGCCAUGGUGAAUAUCUUUUUGUACUUAUGUGAAUGUUGUUGAAAGUGAAGCAAUAUGGAAAAUUUAUGCUUCCCUAAUUAAGGAUGAGUGCGAUGAUACUCCAUGCACAGGCCAGAUUGCAAUAGCAAUAGUAAGAUGAAGACCACGACAUCAUUACUAAUGAGCGCUUGCCACAGUUUGUAGGCCAGAUCUCCACACUUUACAUCUACAUGUGUAAUCAACCAGAUUCUUGCGAUAAUUAUUAGCCAGUACAUGCAUCAACUAUUGAAAUAAAAGAUUUUAUCAUGUUAACAAAAUUUUGCAUGAGCUAAGAUGAUUUUAUGAUGCUUGUUUAGUAUAACACCUACAUAGUGGCACUACUGUUCGGUGCUCCAGGUCCUGUUUUCUGCUGCAAGCAUUCAAAAGUCGUUUGGCGUCCUUCGAUAUGCAGUGGUUAUGGUAAGGCUCCAAUGCUGACAAGUCACCUGUCUCUCAUCCUAAAUAAGGUCGACUCUGAUCAUAUCAUAUUGAAUAGAAUAAAGCAGUUCACAGCCAGCAUAGUUACCAGAAAGUGGGUUGGUUGCAGGAGCAGAUUUAGCUGCAGAUGCGGGUGCGCAAAAGCAGGUCUCUCAAACAAAAAUAAGAAUUGGAAGUGCUUAGGAAGCAGGUACAGAAGCAAAUUUUCUAAGGUUCCGAAGCGGGUGCAGCACCAUGGGUAGAAGCUUCCUGCUAGUAUGGAGUAAAGAACGACCCACAAGCUUCAAACAAUUGCAACCGUAUCAUUGAAAGACAAUCCUGUCUUUCAGCAAAAAGUAAUCAAAAUGUGCAUUUUUCAUUCUCUCUAAAUUCAUCUAAAUGAGUAUCAGAGAAAGGUUGUAUUAUGGUUUAUGGAUAAAAAAAGUUUGUUGGUGUUCAGAGGUACAAACCCUG
rnacentral:lncRNA from 1 species